rnacentral:misc_RNA from 1 species
GAUGAAGAACGUAGCGAAAUGCGAUACGUAAUGUGAAUUGCAGAAUUCAGUGAAUCAUCGAGUCUUUGAACGCACAUUGCGCCCUCUGGUAUUCCGGAGGGCAUGUCUGUCCGAGCGUCAUUGCUGCCCUCAAGCACGGCUUGUGUGUUGGGCUCCGUCCCCCGAUCCCGGGGGACGGGCCCGAAAGGCAGCGGCGGCACCGCGUCCGGUCCUCGAGCGUAUGGGGCUUUGUCACCCGCUCUGUAGGCCCGGCCGGCGCUUGCCGAUCAACCAAAUUUUUAUCCAGGUUGACCUCGGAUCAGGUAGGGAUACCCGCUGAACUUAAGCAUAUCAAUAAGCGGAGGA